UACGUAGGGUGCGAGCGUUGUCCGGAAUUAUUGGGCGUAAAGGGCUCGUAGGCGGUUUGUCGCGUCGGGAGUGAAAACCUUGGGCUUAACUCAGGGCUUGCUUUCGAUACGGGCAGACUAGAGGUAUGCAGGGGAGAACGGAAUUCCUGGUGUAGCGGUGAAAUGCGCAGAUAUCAGGAGGAACACCGGUGGCGAAGGCGGUUCUCUGGGCGUGAUCUGACGCUGAGGAGCGAAAGUGUGGGGAGCGAACAGG
rnacentral:rRNA from 1 species